AAUUCGGUAAACGCUUGUCUAUCGUUUGCCACAGCUAAGAAGGCCGGUAACUGAUGAAAUUGUGCCCCUUGGGUGGCGUUUUUCGUUGGUCUUGGUAAGCUUAUUACCUCGUAUAGUGUGAAUCCAAAUGGGAACUCGAACACAGGUGUCUCCCGUUUGAAUAGAAGGGCUCAAAGACCAUCCAGAUGGCAAAAUUGCUUUUAUUUCCUUCAACACUGCUUGGAUUUGCAUAGGUGGGAAAAGUAGUGCUGGAAGUCUUUCCAUUGCCAUUGUUGCUAGGCCGACGGCAAAAUCUUCAAUCGAUUCGUCCAGCCAAGCCAAGGCUGACUUUAUUUCACGAAAGGUGUUUUCAAUGGCUGCUCUGGCUAUCUCAUGUUUUUCGACUUCUUGGCGUUUUGCAGUUCUUCAACGGCGUUUGACGUCGCCUUUGUUUCCCAAAGCGUCUCGUUGAUUAGUGAUGCGUGCACUUCCAACGCGUGAGCGAUGGAAGUGGUUUCUGUUGAUAACUUUUCAACAUGAUUGUUGACGUGUUCUAGAUCUUCUUCAGUGGACACUCCAAAGAGCCAAUUGAGAACUUUUCCUCCUCCGUCGAUUAGGCCUCUUUUCUUACGGGUUUUUUAAUUCUGCUCGUGCUCGUUCCUCGACCUCUUCUUUAAUACGUUUUUUAAACCCGUCGUUUGGACCUUCGUAUCGGAAGUUCAGAGUGUUGACCUUUCUUCCUAAUACAUCAUGUAGAGUUUUAAUGACGGU